rnacentral:rRNA from 1 species
GCUCCUGGAUUCAGCGGCGGACGGGUGAGUAAUGCCUAGGAAUCUGCCUGGUAGUGGGGGAUAACGUCCGGAAACGGGCGCUAAUACCGCAAACGUCCUGAGGGAGAAAGUGGGGGAUCUUCGGACCUCACGCUAUCAGAUGAGCCUAGGUCGGAUUAGCUAGUUGGUGGGGUAAAGGCCUACCAAGGCGACGAUCCGUAACUGGUCUGAGAGGAUGAUCAGUCACACUGGAACUGAGACACGGUCCAGACUCCUACGGGAGGCAGCAGUGGGGAAUAUUGGACAAUGGGCGAAAGCCUGAUCCAGCCAUGCCGCGUGUGUGAAGAAGGUCUUCGGAUUGUAAAGCACUUUAAGUUGGGAGGAAGGGCAGUAAGUUAAUACCUUGCUGUUUUGACGUUACCAACAGAAUAAGCACCGGCUAACUUCGUGCCAGCAGCCGCGGUAAUACGAAGGGUGCAAGCGUUAAUCGGAAUUACUGGGCGUAAAGCGCGCGUAGGUGGUUCAGCAAGUUGGAUGUGAAAUCCCCGGGCUCAACCUGGGAACUGCAUCCAAAACUACUGAGCUAGAGUACGGUAGAGGGUGGUGGAAUUUCCUGUGUAGCGGUGAAAUGCGUAGAUAUAGGAAGGAACACCAGUGGCGAAGGCGACCACCUGGACUGAUACUGACACUGAGGUGCG